rnacentral:rRNA from 1 species
UACGGAGGGGGCUAGCGUUGUUCGGAAUUACUGGGCGUAAAGCGCACGUAGGCGGCUUUGUAAGUUAGAGGUGAAAGCCCGGGGCUCAACUCCGGAAUUGCCUUUAAGACUGCAUCGCUCGAAUUGUGGAGAGGUAAGUGGAAUUCCGAGUGUAGAGGUGAAAUUCGUAGAUAUUCGGAAGAACACCAGUGGCGAAGGCGACUUACUGGUCACAUAUUGACGCUGAGGUGCGAAAGCGUGGGGAGCAAACAGG